UUACCCUGCUGGCAAACAUUGA
rnacentral:misc_RNA from 1 species